rnacentral:rRNA from 1 species
UACGUAGGGGGCAAGCGUUGUCCGGAAUCAUUGGGCGUAAAGAGCGUGUAGGCGGCCUGGUAAGUCCGCUGUGAAAGUCCAGGGCUCAACCCUGGAAUGCCGGUGGAAACUGUCAGGCUCGAGUCCGGAAGAGGCGAGUGGAAUUCCUGGUGUAGCGGUGAAAUGCGCAGAUAUCAGGAGGAACACCAAUAGCGAAGGCAGCUCGCUGGGACGUUACUGACACUGAGGCGCGAAAGCGUGGGGAGCGAACAGG